rnacentral:rRNA from 1 species
AACAAGGUCUCCGUCUGGUGAACCAGCGGAGGGAUCAUUAUCGAGUUAUUCAACUCCCAAACCCUAUGUGAACUUACCACUUGUUGCUUCGGCGCGCGCUUCGGCGCCGCCGAGGACACUUAAACUCUUUGUUUUUAUAAGCAUUUCUGAGUGGCCGAAAGGCAAAAAUACAAAUGAAUCAAAACUUUCAACAACGGAUCUCUUGGUUCUGGCAUCGAUGAAGAACGCAGCGAAAUGCGAUAAGUAAUGUGAAUUGCAGAAUUCAGUGAAUCAUCGAAUCUUUGAACGCACAUUGCGCCCGCCAGCAUUCUGGCGGGCAUGCCUGUUCGAGCGUCAUUUCAACCCUCGAGCCCGACUCUUUUGAGGACGGCUCGGCGUUGGGGGACGGCAGACUCCCCCCGGCAUCUCGCCGGGGACGCCGCCCCCGAAAUCUAGUGGCGGCCCUCCGAGGCGACCUCUGCGUAGUAACUUGUUCUCGCACCGGAAAGCUCAGAGCGGCCACGCCGUAAAACCCCAACUUUUUUCAGGUUGACCUCGAAUCAGGUAGGACUACCCGCUGAACUUAAGCAUAUCAAUA